CGCUGCGGGCAACAGGCACGGGCGUCGGGGAAACUCUGCGCCCGUGCAAGCAUGUUGAGGGCAGGAAGAGACAA
rfam:Sodalis glossinidius str. 'morsitans' DNA, complete genome.